UACGAAGGGUGCUAGCGUUGUUCGGAAUCACUGGGCGUAAAGCGCGCGUAGGCGGAUCGCUAAGUCAGGGGUGAAAUCCCAGGGCUCAACCCUGGAACUGCCUUUGAUACUGACGAUCUGGAGAUCGGGAGAGGUUGGUGGAAUUCCGAGUGUAGAGGUGAAAUGCGCAGAUAUCGGGAGGAACACCAAUUGCGAAGGCAGCUCGCUGGGACGUCACUGACGCUGAGACGCGAAAGCGUGGGGAGCAAACAGG
rnacentral:rRNA from 1 species